CCAUAGUAGUCAUAUUAUUUUCAAUAUUAUUAGAACUCCAUCAAAUCCUAUUAUUCUUGGUCUUUUCUGGUUGAAAAAGUAUAACCCAUCUAUAGAUUGGAGGUUGCGGAAGAUGACCUUUCCCACAAAACCAUCCAAGAGCAAGCCUAGUAGAAAACUCCGAAUAAAGAAAUCCUUAUUCAUUGGAGUAAGAGCGUUU
rnacentral:lncRNA from 1 species